GUGCUUACUUCAGCAGCACAUAUACUAAAAUUGGAAUGAUAACAGAGAAGAUUAGCAUGGCCCCUGUACAAGGAUGACACACAAAUUCAUGAAACGUUCCAUUUUUUU
rnacentral:snRNA from 1 species